AGCUUAACAGUGGACCGCAGGUAAUAAUAGAUUUAUGAGUUUUUAAUGUGCGACAAAGCUUUUUGUUGCUUUUCCUGCAAAGAACUAACAUUGCUGAACCUCUGGAAUUCUGUAUUGGGUUAAAAAUAGCUUCAUUUUGGAUGUUUCUAUGCCUCAAAUAUGUACAGGUUGUACACUAUCUUUUUAACAGCAAUGUCUUUUUUGAAAAAAAAACCUAUAGAAAUUAAUUUUGAUGAGGGUGCUGACUGAAUACUGAUUGAGAUUACUUCUUCAUUAAAACUAUUUCUUUUCCUGAGUGAGCUGUAAACUGUGUUUUCAGGUAGAUGGAAGCGCCUAUUAUUCCCAAAGCCAUCAGGUGAAUCCAAGACAGCGAAGCUAACAGCUACCACACAAGAUCCAGGACUUUCAGACACACAGCAGCUGCAAAGCACGUUGAAUGAAGCUGAGACAACUGCAUCUACCCAGGGUCUAGCAGAAAGGGAGAUGUUGCUGCUCAGUCAGUGGAACCCCGAUGCCUCACCUCUAACCACACCACCUGUGACAGCUGAAAUGGAAAAAGAGACAAAGGAAGUAAGCCCCAUUGAUGCCAUUGAAAUAACUCCUAAUCUAGAUCUCAUACAGCAUAUCCAUAAGAUGGAGCCAACUAGCAUUUCUGAGAGAGACUUAUCUAUGCACAAGUGGAGCCAAGAACCUACCUUUCCCACAGUCAAACUUCAGUCACCCUCAGGCUUGUGGAAUCUAGAAUCUGAGAGAGAAACUGAGCCGACAAACCCACAGGAUGUGCAGAAAACAAGGCCUCAUUCUGAGACAGUGCAGCAUGUUCCAGAGAUGAAGUCAACCAGGCUUACCAACACAACCCCAUCCCCAUCCAAAUUCAGACAAAAGGCAAUAUCUCCUUCAGUUAGUUUUAAGCCAGCCACAGCAAUACAGGAUUCAGAAUGGGAAGGAGAAAACAAACCAACAAGUCCAACCAGUCCAUUUCAGCUGUCACCAGGGACUGAACUACCUGUAUCAGCAGGAGUCUUAAAACUUGCCACAGAGAUGGUGCCACCAGCCUACACGGACAACAUGUUAAAUGAAGUACCUCAUCCAGAAAUGGAGAAACAGGAACCCACCAGCCCUUCAGCUACAGUUCAGACUGCAAUCACCACAGUGGCUCAGGGACCUGAAGAAGAUAUGGAGGCAAUCAACUUUAUAGAACGAGAACCUUUCCUGUUCUCAGAAACCUUACUAACUACAAAUGCAAUGGAACAGUCAACAGUAACAGAGAACAUACAGUUUAUAGAAACAACCAACUUCAAAGUUCCAGAGUCUAAAGAGAACACAGCUCAGCAGCAAGAAGAGGAGUCAAACACAGAACCAUACAUCCUUGGAUCUGCAGCUACACCAGAAUCCACUUCAGCUCCCAGUGACUUGUACAACUGGGAUGGAGCAGAUGUUCACAAUGUGACUGACCUUCCACAAAGCACAGUGUCAUACACAGUUUUUGACAGUGAACCAACUGAAGAUGAUCUGGUGAGCACUGGAGACACAGAAAGGGCAACAAGUAAGUAAGAGAAGAGAAAGCCUCACCUGUUGUGAAGGCCUUUUCCAAGCUCUAGAACAUCACACAUUGUUUUCUUUCCUCCUCCAGUUGUCAUAAGCUCAAGGACUUGUCUCGGUAAAGGAACUAGCUGGUGAACUUUUUCCUCAGAAGCCUUCAACCUGUCUGAUACACACACCUGCACAAUUAUCUCAUUGGUCAGACCUAAGUUUCUAGCAGCCAGACAGGAAUCUUCUCCCAGGCUGAAACCAUUUUUUUCCCAGAAAAAUUUCCUUGUGGUAUAUCAGGUCCCAUCCAAACAGGGCCUAAAUUGUGGUAUUUUCCUGGGGCUAUAUUGAGAUUGC
rnacentral:lncRNA from 1 species